rnacentral:rRNA from 1 species
GUACUCCCCAGGUGGGACACUUAUCACUUUCGCUUAGUCACUGAGAUAAAUCCCAACAACUUGUGUCCAUCGUUUACGGCGUGGACUACCAGGGUAUCUAAUCCUGUUCGCUCCCCACGCUUUCGUCCAUGAGCGUCAGUACAUACGUAGUAGACUGCCUUCGCAAUCGGUAUUCUGUGUAAUAUCUAUGCAUUUCACCGCUACACUACACAUUCUAUCUACUUCCAUAUGACUCAAGUCAACCAGUAUCAAAGGCAGUUCCAUAGUUAAGCUAUGGGAUUUCACCUCUGACUUAAUCGACCGCCUGCGGACCCUUUAAACCCAAUGAUUCCGGAUAACGCUCGGACCCUCCGUAUUACCGCGGCUGCUGGCACGGAGUUAGCCGGUCCUUAUUCUUACAGUACCGUCAAGCUAGUACACGUACUAGUGUUUCUUCCUGUAUAAAAGCAGUUUACAACCCAUAGGGCAGUCUUCCUGCACGCGGCAUGGCUGGAUCAGAGUCUCCUCCAUUGUCCAAUAUUCCUCACUGCUGCCUCCCGUAGGAGUCUGGUCCGUGUCUCAGUACCAGUGUGGGGGAUCUCCCUCUCAGGACCCCUACCUAUCGAUGUCUUGGUAAGCCGUUACCUUACCAACUAACUAAUAGGACGCAUAGCCAUCUUUUACCGAUAAAUCUUUAAUUACAAUCUGAUGCCAAAUCGCAAUACUAUGAGGUAUUAAUCUUCAUUUCUAAAGGCUAUCCCUCUGUAAAAGGUAGGUUCUAUACGCGUUACGCACCCGUGCGCCGGUCGUCAUCUGUGCAAGCACAAUGUUACCCCUCGACUUGCAUGUGUUAAGCCUG